CGUGCCUACACAUGCAAGUCGCACGAGAAAGGGACUUCGGUCCUGAGUACAGUGGCGCACGGGUGAGUAACACGUGAAUUAUCUACCUCCGAGUGGGGAAUAACUGAGAGAAAUCUUAGCUAAUACCGCAUAACACUUACGAGUCAAAGCAGCAAUGCGCUUGGAGAGGAGUUCGCGGCAGAUUAGUUAGUUGGCGGGGUAAUGGCCCACCAAGACGAUGAUCUGUAUCCGGCCUGAGAGGGCGCACGGACACACUGGAACUGAAACACGGUCCAGACUCCUACGGGAGGCAGCAGUGGGGAAUUUUGCGCAAUGGGGGAAACCCUGACGCAGCAACGCCGCGUGGAGGAUGAAAUCCCUUGGGAUGUAAACUCCUUUCGAUAGGGAAGAUAAUGACGGUACCUAUAGAAGAAGCCCCGGCUAACUUCGUGCCAGCAGCCGCGGUAAUACGAGGGGGGCAAGCGUUGUUCGGAAUUAUUGGGCGUAAAGGGUGCGUAGGCGGUUUGACAAGUCUUAUGUGAAAUCUUCGGGCUCAACCCGAAGUCUGCAUAGGAAACUGUCGGGCUUGAGUAUGGGAGAGGUGAGUGGAAUUUCCGGUGUAGCGGUGAAAUGCGUAGAUAUCGGAAGGAACACCCGUGGCGAAAGCGGCUCACUGGACCAUAACUGACGCUGAUGCACUAAAGCUAGGGGAGCAAACAGGAUUAGAUACCCUGGUAGUCCUAGCCCUAAAACGAUGAUUGUUUGAUGUGGGGGGUACCCAAUCCUCCCCGUGUCGAAGCUAACGC
rnacentral:rRNA from 1 species